rnacentral:rRNA from 1 species
UACGGAGGAUGCGAGCGUUAUCCGGAUUUAUUGGGUUUAAAGGGUGCGUAGGCGGGCUUUUAAGUCAGCGGUAAAAAUUCGGGGCUCAACCCCGUCGGGCCGUUGAAACUGGGGGUCUUGAGUGGGCGAGAAGAAGGCGGAAUGCGUGGUGUAGCGGUGAAAUGCAUAGAUAUCACGCAGAACCCCGAUUGCGAAGGCAGCCUUCCGGCGCCCUACUGACGCUGAGGCACGAAAGUGCGGGGAUCGAACAGG